rnacentral:rRNA from 1 species
UACGUAGGCAGCGAGCGUUGUUCGGAAUUACUGGGCGUAAAGAGUGUGUAGGCGGUGCUCUGAGUUAGGUGUGAAAUCUCCUGGCUCAACUGGGAGGGUGCGCCGGAAACUGGAGUGCUUGAGCGUGGGAGAGGAAAGCGGAAUUCCUGGUGUAGCGGUGAAAUGCGUAGAUAUCAGGAGGAACACCUGUGGUGUAGACGGCUUUCUGGACCAUAGCUGACGCUGAGACACGAAAGCGUGGGUAGCAAACAGG